UACGGGGGGGGCAAGCGUUGUUCGGAAUUACUGGGCGUAAAGGGCGCGUAGGCGGUUCGCUAAGUUGGAUGUGAAAACCCGGGGCUCAACUCCGGGCCUGCAGCCGAUACGGGCAGACUAGAGUUCGGCAGGGGAGACUGGAAUUCCUGGUGUAGCGGUGAAAUGCGCAGAUAUCAGGAGGAACACCGGUGGCGAAGGCGGGUCUCUGGGCCGAUACUGACGCUGAGGAGCGAAAGCGUGGGGAGCAAACAGG
rnacentral:rRNA from 1 species